GAUUUCUGGCCUGAAGCAUGGAGCCGGCCACGGUUUCGUGUGUUAGUGCUCUUUGCUCUGGCCAUCCUUCCAAUUGCUGCUCCCCUUUCUUCAUUGAUUGGUGGGUGGUAUUGGAUCUUUUACUUUGAAAAAAUUAGAGUGUUUCAAGCAGGCUUUAUGCUAUGAAUACAUUAGCAUGGAAUAAUAAUUUAGGACUUCGGUUCUAUUUUGUUGGUUUCUAGGACUGAAGUAAUGAUUGAUAGGGAUAGUUGGGGGUGCUAGUAUUCAGCGGCCAGAGGUGAAAUUCUCGGAUUCGCUGAAGACUAACUUAUGCGAAAGCAUU
rnacentral:rRNA from 1 species